GUCCUCGUAGCUCAGUGGAUAGAGCAACCGCCUCCUAAGCGGUAGGUCGCAGGUUCAACUCCCGCCGAGGACA
rnacentral:tRNA from 1 species